rnacentral:snRNA from 1 species
ACUGUCCCUGUCUACUAU